AUCCUUACACGGCAGGGGAGAUACCAUGGUCAUGCAGGUGGAUUUCCCAAGGCAAGGCUCAUUCAUUGUACUUGGGAUGUACCGACCCCUGAGAUUUCCCCAAAUGUGGGAAACUCCACUGCAUAAUUUGUGGUAUUGGGGGACUGUAUUUGCACUCUCCCCUG